AAUCAGUGAUGUCACUAUCCCGAACCUGAUACAUGAUGAAACAUGCAAACGGAUCUGACUGCUGAGAU